UACGUAGGGGGCAAGCGUUGUCCGGAAUUAUUGGGCGUAAAGAGCGCGUAGGCGGUCCGAUAAGUCGGCUGUGAAAGUCAGGGGCUCAACCCUUGAAAGCCGGCCGAUACUGUCGGACUAGAGUCCGGAAGAGGCAAGUGGAAUUCCCGGUGUAGCGGUGAAAUGCGCAGAUAUCGGGAGGAACACCAAUGGCGAAGGCAGCUUGCUGGGACGGUACUGACGCUCAGGCACGAAAGCGUGGGGAGCAAACAGGG
rnacentral:rRNA from 1 species